rnacentral:rRNA from 1 species
AGGUAUAUGUUUAUUUCUCAUAAAUAUGAGAUAUAUAUUCUUAAUCCCGUAAAACAAGGUAAAUAUAUAUAUAUAAAUUAGUAUAUUUGCGAAUAUCACAAAUUAACUAAUACAUUAUAGUCUAUAAUGUAUAAACUUAUCUGAAGGAUUUAAUAUUUGAUAUGCAUUCAAUAUGUAAACACAACAUUCUUAGCUAAAAUUUUAUAAUUAACCAUAGGAAUGUACCUUAUUAUCCUUGCGUACACUUAAGGCAACAGAUAAGAAAAAAAUCCAUAGAUGAUAAAAUCAUUACUGACUCACGUCGUAAUUAACCCAUCUCAAGUAACUCCUUAGAGGACGAACAGUCCUACCCUACCUAGUUGCUGCGACCAGGAGGACGAGUCUAGACGACCAAUUUGUUAUCGUUAAAUUUUUUAUUUUAACUUCAAUAAUUUUCAUUAUUGUUCAGACUAUGUCUUAAAAUAUUCCCAGUUUUACGGGUAAUUAUAUGCGAUAUAAUAUAAAUUUAUAUUGAAAAGAUUUUAUCAUAAAUUUUAUUUAUAAAAUAUAAAUUAAACCUGCAAAGCAGGUAAAUAUUUCUAGGUAUUUCUUGGUAGGAUAUUGUUAUAUGUACUCACCUACUAGUCGUUGGACGUUUAUUAUCCUUUAUAACCUUAUUAUUAAAAAUUCCUUAUUUGGAAAAUUAACGAUAAGUAAUUAUACAUAUAGGAUAAUAAUUCGCUGCAAAUUAUCAUAGAUAUAAAUCCUUAGACUUCUUGCAAUUAAACCUAUUUAUACUCGACUAUCAUUAUUAAUCGAGGUGGCAAACACCGCUGACGAUAUCAACUCUCACGCGGUAUUACCCUGUUCAAUUUUGUUAUCGUUGUUUUUUUUAUUACAACUUCUAUAUAUCACUAUAUAGUUCAGACUAUGUCUUUACCUUCCCGCGAAGCGGGCAUUAUCUCCCAGAUAAAUCAAUCCCUGCGAAGCAGGGAUUGAUUUACAAAUAAUUCUAAGAAAUUAUUUAUUAUCUAUAACUUAUAUAUUUAAGUAUCUUCGGUAUAAUAUACCGAAGUAAUAACUUUACUUAUUAAAAAUAUUAGGUAACUUAUAUCUAAACAUAUCUAUUACAUAAGGAUUAAUUAAAUGGGAUAAAAUAUUUUAUAAUCUUUACUAGAUAUAUAAAUAAUAGGUUUUUUCUUAUUAUAAGCAAUAAAAGUAUUUUUAUUAUAUGGACCCAUAUGAUAAAUCCCCGAAGGAGGGAUUAAUUAUAUUUAGUAUUUUAAAUACUAAUGGGGAUUAAAUCUUUUUUUAUGAUAAAAUUUUUCAUCUCUUUUCUUAAAUAUGCCCGGCCGUAGGCCGGGAUUUGUAAAUGUAGUUAUAAAAUUACCCAAAAAGGGGUGAUGAUAAAUCACCUUUGGUGAUUAAUUAUAGAUAAUCUAUCUAAUGCCCGCUUCGCGGGGAGGUAUUGGGCUCUCGUGGUAAUAUUAUUGUUAGUUUACUCAAUUACUAGUCGUUGAACGUUCAUAUAUCUUAUAAAAAACUUACCCACCGUAGGUGGGCAUAUAUGCUUCGCUACAAAUUGUCUUUAUAUAGAUAAAGAGUUUUUUGUAAUUCACCCAAUUUAUAUACCCUUAUUAAAGGGUUAUCUCACUAUCGCGGAGAUAAUAUAUAUUUCUAUAUAAAGGAACUAACAUUUAAUCCCUAGCGUAACUUUAAUCCGUUAUCGACAUCCAUACCAUUUGUUUAUGCCUGUUCACUACACUCUACGUAAGUACUAAUUCCACUUGUUAGUGUUAUUAUCAUCGCACAAUUAUGUUGUUAUCCUUACUUAUAAUCUUACAGAAUUUUUCUGUUUUAUUCUAUUUACCAUAUAGAAUUAUUGUACGUAAUUUUCUAUUAAAUAAAAAAUUUAAUUAAACAUUAAGUCUUGAUAAUUCAAGAUCACUGUUAUUAGACACAUCAGAUGCUUUCGCUGAUGUCGACGCCCCAUCGAAACUAACCUCUUUACUCUUUCUUAAAUAAGUAAAACUUUAGUCAUUAGUAUAACUAAUAACCCUGUAUUACAGGGUAACUUGAUAUUAUCAAAUUUUGACUAUAUUAAUUAGAUUCUUUUUUUAUUUAUAUAGGUAUCUCAUUUUGUUUAAAUUAUAAAUAUAACCUAAUCUACUGAAAUAAAUAAAAAAAGGCUAAUCAUAACUAAGUUAUGAUUAAUAAUCAAAAUAAAGAUAUAGUAAAGCUGCAUAGGGUCUUUUUGUCAACCUACGGAUAUACGGCAUCUUCCAAUUCUGAUUAACUUAAGUAGGUUUGACCUACAAAGGUUUCUUACUUAUGUACUAAUAAGUUAUAUCAACAUAACUGAUAUAUCUUUCACCUUUAUAUAAUAAAUUUAUACCUCCCACCCAAAGGUGGGAGAUUUUUAUACCAUUUUUAUGAUAUCCCGCCAAAGGCGGCAUAUUAUAUUACAGAAUCCGACUGUACAUUUAGACAGACAUUUCAGUCUAACCUCGGUGAACCAGUCUGUAGCGACAUAUACAACUGCCGACGGUCUUUAACUAAGAUAUCAUUGACCGUUUUCACCUUUUUAUUUAUAGUGAUUAAAUUACAUUUUGCCUUAUGUAAUCUAUCCUCUAUUUGAGGAAUAAGUAUUAUUCGAUUGUAUUCUUACCACUAUAUAUUUAUAUAGUAUGAAUUUAUUAGAUAAAUUCAUUAAUACUCAUCUAUCUUUUAAGAUAUUUAAUAUUACCACCAUUGACGAACAUUAAAACUAUAAAGUUGGAUUCUCACCAACCCGGCGUAUAAUAUAAAUUUAAUAUUAUAGUACUAAUUUUCACCGCAAUUGCUAUUUCACUGAGUCUACUUUGGAUACAGUUAUCGCAUCGUAUAUUCAUUCAUGCAGGACGUCAAUUAUACGUCAAUGAAUUUCGCUACCUUCGGAUCCUCAGAAUAAGACCGCCGUUUAUCAGUCUUUUAUAAAAUUAUCUUAAUAAUAAUUAUAUUUAUUAAACUAACACCGGGCAGAUAUCACUUAUUAUACUUACUAUUACUAGUAUGCAAUAAGCUAUGUUUUUGGUAAACAGUCGCACGAUUUAUUUUGCCGAGUUCAUUCAAAGUAGUUAUCCCAUUCCCUUGUUAUCAUACCUGUGUCGGUCUACAGUACGGUUCAUUUUUAUUUUCUUGUUCUUUCACCCAUUAAUUAUAUAUUUCUAUAUUAAUCUUAGGGACCGUUCGUUUAUAGUAAAACCUUAUGAAUAAGGGGAUAAUCUUAUAUUAUCUAUCGUUACUCAAGCCAGCAAUCUCUUUAUAAUUAUCCAUUAUAUAUUCUGCUACCAUAUAAUCUUUUUAAUUAUAUCUAUAAUACUGUUAUUAAUUUAGACCCGAUAUAUUUUCUCUAUUAUUAAUAAAUAUAUAUAUUUAUAUAUAUAUAUAUAAAAUUAGUGCAUUGUUACAUGUUCAUUAAAAGUUGAUUAUUGUCAAACCCACUUACUAAUUGUCUAUAAUUUAAUUCCCCGUAUAUUAUUUCUUUAGUUAAACUAAAGAUAAAAUAAUGUAAAAUCAAUAUGAUUUUAACUUUUAUAAAUCUACUAAAGGUAGAUAUAAAAGUAGGAUAGAUUUUGUUCACUUAAUUAAUAUUUGGGACAUUCAUUUAAUAGUCUAGGUUGUUUCCUUCUCGACCUACUACCUUAUCGCAAUAAGUCUGACUCCUUAUAUUACAUUAUUAACUGAUUCCGAGGUUUAAAUAUUUUGAUAAAAUUAUAUUCUAAUUCCCCAAAGGUAUUUAAGUGCUGUACCAGUUUAAAUGCCUGCAAAGCAGGGAUAUAAAGGCUAUACUAAAAUAUAUUUCGCAGAAAACCAGCUAUCUGCAAACCAGAUUUGUCUGUCACAGCUACACACAUCUCUUUAGAAAUUAUUGCUACAAUUACCUAUUGAGUCAUAUAUAAACCUUUUAAGAUUUAAUAUACACUUGGACAUGUGUAGAUCGUUUGCUUUCGGGCCUAUAUACUUUAAUUUAUAUCUAUUUAUAUAUAAUAAAAAAUUUCACUAAAAUAUAUAACUCACUGGCCCAUUAUACAAGAGGUACACCAUUCUAUAAUUGCUCUUUAUUAUUCUAUUUACUUACUUUCCCUUGCGGUACUUUAAUCUAAAAUUUAAUUUUAUUUCUUAGUAGUUGGAAACUACUAUAUUCUUACCUCUUGGUAAUACUUUAAGAUUUUAAUAUUUUCACUCACCGUUACUAAUAUUAUCCCUGUUGGUUAUUUAACAAGUUACUCAGAUGUUUCAUUCCACUUGUUUUAUUUUUUAUCAUUUUCAUGAUUAUGAUUGAUUACUGUUAUUUACAGUUCCUCCCUAAGAAGGUACAUCUUUAUAUCAUUUUUUAAAUUUUGAUUCGUAAUCCUUAAAAUAAUAUUAAUUACAUAUACCAUUUUUCAAUAUAUCACCU